rnacentral:rRNA from 1 species
CCUACGGGUGGCUGCAGUGAGGAAUAUUGGUCAAUGGGCGCGAGCCUGAACCAGCCAAGUAGCGUGAAGGAUGACUGCUCUACGGAUUGUAAACUUCAUUUAUAAGGGAAUAAAGUGAAGCACGCUUGCCUUUUUGCAUGUACUUUCUGCAUACGGAUCGGCUAAGUACGUCCCAGCAGCCGCGGUAAUACGGAGGUUCCUGGGGUUAGCCGGAUUUAUUGGGUGUAAGGGGAGCGUAGAUGGGAUGUUAAGUCAGAUGUGAAAGUGUGCGGCUCAACCAUAAAAUUGCAAUUGAUACUGUCAGCCUAGAGUACAGUUGAGGUAGGCGGAAUUCGUGGUGUAGCGGUGAAAUGCGUAGAUAUCACGAAGAACUCCGAUGGCGAAGGCAGCCUACUAAACUGCCACUGACGUUGAUGCUCGAAAGUGUGGGGAGCAAACAGGAUUAGAUACCCCUGUAGUC